CUUUCUGGAAGUUUCCAAAAGGAAGAAUAGGAUCCUGGUUUGGAAUUUCUCUGAAAUUGGACUUCUAAUUUUCUGUAGGAAUGAACGUUCCCAAAUUGGAGCUGUCCAGCAAUAAGGUGGAUUGCCUUUGAGGAAGCUGAGUUCCUUGCCAUAGGAAGUAUUCAAGCAGAAAGGUACAAAGACUCAACGACAGAGUGCCAGAGAGGAUGUCUUAUGGAGAUGGUUGACAUAAACCUCUCUAACUGCAUGGGCUAGAAGGGAUCCAGGAAGCCCCCUACAAACCAGCAACUCAGAGAGGUUCAUUAACUUGCCGAAGGCCACAAAGCUGUUAAGUGUUCAAACAGAUGGCGUCAAACCAGAUCUUUAGCCUCAGGGACCAGAGCUCUGCAGCCUGGAGGGGACCUUCUGCAGCAUCAUUGCACAGAAGACAUCAAUCAAUCAGUCUUUCAGUGGCCUUACAUUUUUCUCCACUUGCAGGUUAUGGGUCACCAUUUUACAAAUUCCUCCAGGACAGAAAGAAACUGUUUCUCCUGCCUGUUCUUUCCCAGCCCAGGCUGUCACCGGGGAUCCAAAUGUCAGGCUUUAUGCAAGUUCUCGAUGUUGGAACCUCUCAUGAAAAGUGGAGUGAACAAGAGGGAAAGUGGGCAAACCUCAGGCCUCACAGCUUUAAUGCCACCAAUGCAUUUGGUGAGGGACCUGAUCUCUCUGCUUCCAAGACAGAGUCUUGUUGCUGUCUUCUGGAGGGGAGGAACCCCGUGUCCUCACGUGGCAGAAGAGCAUAAGAGAGCAAACCCACUCCUUCAAACUCACCUUUUAGAGAUGGGGUCUCACUCUGUCACCCAGGCUAGAGCGAGCAUAGUGGUAUGAUCCUAGCUCAUUGCAGCCUCAAACUCCUGGGCACAAGCCAUCCUCCUGCCUCAGCUUUCUGAGUAGCUGGGACUACAAGCAUGUGCC
rnacentral:lncRNA from 1 species